AUUUUAAUAGUAAAGUAUCAUUAUUACAUUAUUUUUUCAAAAUAAAGUAGCUAAAUAUAAAGCUUAAAAUC
rnacentral:tRNA from 1 species